GCGGCGGGCUUCGGGAGCGCCCGGGCUGAUCCGAGCCGAGCGGGCCGUAUCUCCUUGUCGGCGCCGCUGAUUCCCGGCUCUGCGGAGGCCUCUAGGCAGCCGCGCAGCUUCCGUGUUUGCUGCGCCCGCACUGCGAUUUACAACCCUGAAGAAUCUCCCUAUCCCUAUUUUGUCCCCCUGCAGUAAUAAAUCCCAUUAUGGAGAUCUCGAAACUUUAUAAAGGGAUAUAGUUUGAAUUCUAUGGAGUGUAAUUUUGUGUAUGAAUUAUAUUUUUAAAACAUUGAAGAGUUUUCAGAAAGAAGGCUAGUAGAGUUGAUUACUGAUACUUUAUGCUAAGCAGUACUUUUUUGGUAGUACAAUAUUUUGUUAGGCGUUUCUGAUAACACUAGAAAGGACAAGUUUUAUCUUGUGAUAAAUUGAUUAAUGUUUACAACAUGACUGAUAAUUAUAGCUGAAUAGUCCUUAAAUGAUGAACAGGUUAUUUAGUUUUUAAAUGCAGUGUAAAAAGUGUGCUGUGGAAAUUUUAUGGCUAACUAAGUUUAUGGAGAAAAUACCUUCAGUUGAUCAAGAAUAAUAGUGGUAUACAAAGUUAGGAAGAAAGUCAACAUGAUGCUGCAGGAAAUGGAAACAAAUACAAAUGAUAUUUAACAAAGAUAGAGUUUACAGUUUUUGAACUUUAAGCCAAAUUCAUUUGACAUCAAGCACUAUAGCAGGCACAGGUUCAACAAAGCUUGUGGGUAUUGACUUCCCCCAAAAGUUGUCAGCUGAAGUAAUUUAGCCCACUUAAGUAAAUACUAUGAUGAUAAGCUGUGUGAACUUAGCUUUUAAAUAGUGUGACCAUAUGAAGGUUUUAAUUACUUUUGUUUAUUGGAAUAAAAUGAGAUUUUUUGGGUUGUCAUGUUAAAGUGCUUAUAGGGAAAGAAGCCUGCAUAUAAUUUUUUACCUUGUGGCAUAAUCAGUAAUUGGUCUGUUAUUCAGGCUUCAUAGCUUGUAACC
rnacentral:lncRNA from 1 species